GAGGUCAGCAAAGCCAGGUGAUUCUUUAUCCCAGAAGCAGGACUCUCCGGGGACAUCCGUGAGGGCAGAGAGUUAAAACAGUCCCUUGUGGCAGUGUGGUGCCGACAGUGAGCCCAUGAAUGCCGCCUACGAAGGCCUCCUCUGUUGCCUCCUGAAACCCGACUGCCGAGCUCUACCUGUGAUGCGGGGAGGUACUAAGGACCUUCCUGAAUCUGUUUUUUUUGUUUGUUUAUUUGUGGGGUUUUUGGGUAGCAUAAGUUAAUCAUAAUUCAUUUCUUUUGCUUUCAAUCAAAAUCAGAUACAGAAAAUCUCUUUUUGGAUCUGCCUGAACCAUUAGGCUCUUGAAAUACCGGGAAAUAGCAUACCUGGAAUUUUCCUUGGUCCUGGUGCUUGAAGAAAAGGCCUCUUCUCUCCCCUGUUCCUUCUCGUUUCUUCCAGGGAACUUGAGGCGGUUGCUCAAAGGCCGCUGUGGGAAAGCUUUUACAGUCACUCUCCUACAGCAGAGAAGCCCCAGAAGGAAGAGCCCGGAGAGCAAUGCAGUCCUGGGGCCGGGCCCCCGGAGCCUUGGGAAGAUGUCGGGCUCGGGGGCAGCCAGCAGCGACCAGCCGGGUGUGUGCUGAUGGCCGCCCGUAGCAAGUGCCCGGAAAGCAGGGGGGCCGAGCCCCUGUGUGCAUUUCUGAGGCCGAACGGCUUGAGCACAGACCCCGGGGAGUCGACAUGUGGUUUCUUUCAUCAAACUGCUUACAAGGCAGUUCUCUAUUGUAGGGUGAUCGAUGAAGAAUUGUCCCACCCUUUAUGAGAAUGCAUGCCAUGACCAUUUAAGUGGCGUAGAACCUACAGUAAGUGGAGCCCAAAAAAGACCGCCAUUCCCCAUGUCUGAUGAGAGCUCUAACU